GGUUGUCCCGGUUUAAGCAUGUAGGCUGAUUGUCCAGGCAAAUCCGGAUAAUCAAGGCUGAGGUGUGAUGACGAGGCACUACGGUGCUGAAGUAACAAAUGCCCUGCUUCCAGGAAAAGCCUCUAAGCAUCAGGUAACAUUAAAUCGUACCCCAAACCGACACAGGUGGUCAGGUAGAGAAUACCAAGGCGCUUGAGAGAACUCGGGUGAAGGAACUAGGCAAAAUGGUGCCGUAACUUCGGGAGAAGGCACGCUGGUGUGUAGGUGAAGUCCCUGCGGAUGGAGCUGAGACCAGUCGAAGAUACCAGCUGGCUGCAACUGUUUAUUAAAAACACAGCACUGUGCAAACACGAAAGUGGACGUAUACGGUGUGACGCCUGCCCGGUGCCGGAAGGUUAAUUGAUGGGGUUAUCCGUAAGGAGAAGCUCUUGAUCGAAGCCCCGGUAAACGGCGGCCGUAACUAUAACGGUCCUAAGGUAGCGAAAUUCCUUGUCGGGUAAGUUCCGACCUGCACGAAUGGCGUAAUGAUGGCCAGGCUGUCUCCACCCGAGACUCAGUGAAAUUGAACUCGCUGUGAAGAUGCAGUGUACCCGCGGCAAGACGGAAAGACCCCGUGAACCUUUACUAUAGCUUGACACUGAACAUUGAGCCUUGAUGUGUAGGAUAGGUGGGAGGCUUUGAAGCGUGGACGCCAGUCUGCGUGGAGCCAACCUUGAAAUACCACCCUUUAAUGUUUGAUGUUCUAACGUUGGCCCCUGACCGGGGUUGCGGACAGUGUCUGGUGGGUAGUUUGACUGGGGCGGUCUCCUCCCAAAGCGUAACGGAGGAGCACGAAGGUUAGCUAAUCCUGGUCGGACAUCAGGAGGUUAGUGCAAUGGCAUAAGCUAGCUUGACUGCGAGCGUGACGGCGCGAGCAGGUGCGAAAGCAGGUCAUAGUGAUCCGGUGGUUCUGAAUGGAAGGGCCAUCGCUCAACGGAUAAAAGGUACUCCGGGGAUAACAGGCUGAUACCGCCCAAGAGUUCAUAUCGACGGCGGUGUUUGGCACCUCGAUGUCGGCUCAUCACAUCCUGGGGCUGAAGUAGGUCCCAAGGGUAUGGCUGUUCGCCAUUUAAAGUGGUACGCGAGCUGGGUUUAGAACGUCGUGAGACAGUUCGGUCCCUAUCUGCCGUGGGCGCUGGAGAAUUGAGGGGGGCUGCUCCUAGUACGAGAGGACCGGAGUGGACGCAUCACUGGUGUUCGGGUUGUCAUGCCAAUGGCACUGCCCGGUAGCUAAAUGCGGAAGAGAUAAGUGCUGAAAGCAUCUAAGCACGAAACUUGCCCCGAGAUGAGUUCUCCCUGAGACUUUAAGUCUCCUGAAGGAACGUUAAAGACGAUGACGUUGAUAGGCCGGGUGUGUAAGCGCAGCGAUGCGUUGAGCUAACCGGUACUAAUGAACCGUGAGGCUUAACCUU
rnacentral:rRNA from 2 species